rnacentral:rRNA from 1 species
CGUAGGGUGCGAGCGUUAAUCGGAAUUACUGGGCGUAAAGCGUGCGCAGGCGGUUAUAUAAGAUAGAUGUGAAAUCCCCGGGCUCAACCUGGGAACUGCAUUUGUGACUGUAUAGCUAGAGUACGGCAGAGGGGGAUGGAAUUCCGCGUGUAGCAGUGAAAUGCGUAGAUAUGCGGAGGAACACCGAUGGCGAAGGCAAUCCCCUGGGCCUGUACUGACGCUCAUGCACGAAAGCGUGGGGAGCAAACAGGAUUAGAUACCCUGGUAGUCCACGCCCUAAACGAUGUCAACUGGUUGUUGGGUCUUCACUGACUCAGUAACGAAGCUAACGCGUGGAGUUGACCGCCUGGGGAGUACGGCCGCAAGGUUG